GUCUAUGACCAUGCCACCCUGAAUAAGCCCGAUCCCAUCUAAUCUCAGAAGCUAAGCAGGGUCAGGCCUUUUUAGUACUUAGAUGGGAGACCACCUAGGAAGACCAGGUGCUGUAGGCA
rnacentral:rRNA from 1 species